ACUCCUACGGGAGGCAGCAGUAGGGAAUCUUCCACAAUGGGCGCAAGCCUGAUGGAGCAACACCGCGUGAGUGAAGAAGGGUUUCGGCUCGUAAAGCUCUGUUGUUAAAGAAGAACACGUAUGAGAGUAACUGUUCAUACGUUGACGGUAUUUAACCAGAAAGUCACGGCUAACUACGUGCCAGCAGCCGCGGUAAUACGUAGGUGGCAAGCGUUAUCCGGAUUUAUUGGGCGUAAAGAGAGUGCAGGCGGUUUUCUAAGUCUGAUGUGAGAGCCUUCGGCUUAACCGGAGAAGUGCAUCGGAAACUGGAUAACUUGAGUGCAGAAGAGGGUAGUGGAACUCCAUGUGUAGCGGUGGAAUGCGUAGAUAUAUGGAAGAACACCAGUGGCGAAGGCGGCUACCUGGUCUGCAACUGACGCUGAGACUCGAAAGCAUGGGUAGCGAACAGGAUUAGAUACCCUGGUAGGAUAGCG
rnacentral:rRNA from 1 species